GCAAGUCGAACGAAGAAAUUGUUCUUAGUGGCGAAUGGGUGAGUAACACGUAGUUAAUGUGCCCUCAAGUAAGGGACAACAGUUGGAAACGAAUGCUAAUACAGGAUACGUAAUUACCUCGCAUGGGCAUAUUAGAAAAGGAGCGUUUGCUUCGCUAGAGGAUGAGAGUGCGCCAUAUUAGCUAGUUGGUAGGGUAAAGGCCUACCAAGGCGAUGAUAUGUAGCUGGUUUGAGAGGCUGAUC
rnacentral:rRNA from 1 species